rnacentral:rRNA from 1 species
UACGGGGGGGGCGAGCGUUGUUCGGAAUCAUUGGGCGUAAAGGGCGCGUAGGCGGCUCGGCAAGUCAGUUGUGAAAGCCCUCGGCUCAACCGAGGAAUUGCGUCUGAUACUGCCGUGCUCGAGUCCCGGAGAGGGUAGCGGAAUUCCCAGUGUAGCGGUGAAAUGCGUAGAUAUUGGGAGGAACACCAGUGGCGAAGGCGGCUACCUGGACGGGUACUGACGCUGAGGCGCGAAAGCUAGGGGAGCAAACAGG